AGCAGCCGCGGUAAUUCCAGCUCCAAUAGCGUAUAUUAAAGUUGCUGCAGUUAAAAAGCUCGUAGUUGAAUUUCGGGACCAAUAUGUCGGUCGUGCCUCGGUACGUACUGGCAUCGUUGGUUUCUCCCUUCUGACGAACCAUGAUGUCAUUUAUUUGGUGUCGUGGGAAAUCAGGACUGUUACUUUGAAAAAUUAGAGUGUUUAAAGCAGGCUCACGCUUGAAUACAUUAGCAUGGAAUAAUGAAAUAGGACGUUUGAUUCUAUUUUGUUGGUUUCUAGGAUUGACGUAAUGAUUAAUAGGGAUAGUUGGGGGCAUUAGUAUUCAAUUGUCAGAGGUGAAAUUCUUGGAUUUAUUGAAGACUAACUACUGCGAAAGCAUUUGCCAAGGAUGUUUUCAUUAAUCAAGAACGAAAGUUAGGGGAUCGAAGACGAUCAGAUACCGUCGUAGUCUUAACCAUAAACUAUGCCGACUAGGGAUCGGAUGAUGUUAAUUUUUUAAUGUACUCA
rnacentral:rRNA from 1 species